rnacentral:lncRNA from 1 species
UUGGCUUACACUCGCCACUAGCUACAUCAGAGUCACAUCAGAACAUUACACAAUCAUCAAGAGUAAGAGCAGGGUCCGACUACGGACGAAAACAAACGAUAAAAGAAGAACGACGUCCAUCCUUGCUAUCCCAGGCUGCCGGCCUGGAACCAAUCCUAGAUCGAUGAUGAAGAAGAACAAGAAGAAGCAACUCCGAAUGAACAAUCAACGCGCUCACGUCAAGUAAUCUUAACCUGUACCUGC